GUGGGUGUGUUGGUCAACGGGGGUCCUGAUAAGCCUAUCCGUCCGGGUUCAAAUCCCGGCACCUACACCA
rnacentral:tRNA from 1 species